rnacentral:misc_RNA from 1 species
GAAAGAUGGAGGAUGACUUUUGUGCCACCACCAAACAGGAAUGUGUUGCAUGCUUCUGUGACCUAUACCUUUCUGCCAUUGGCUGCAAAUGUUCUGCACAUAAAUAUACUUGUCUUCUUCAUGCCAAACAACUAUGUGAUUGUGCUUGGAGCGAGAGGUAUUUGCUUAUACGGUAUGAAAUAGAUGAGUUGAACAUCAUGGUUGAAGAUUUGGAUCGAAAAGUAAGUGCAGUUCAUAACAGGGCAAAAGAAAA